UGGUGCAACUUGUACAGGAUAGGUAGGAGCCAAUGAACCCGGAGCGCCAGCUUCGGGGGAGGCGUCGGUGGGAUACUACCCUGGUUGUAUUGAACUUCUAACCCGCACCCCUGAUCGGGGUGGGAGACAGUGUCAGGCGGGCAGUUUGACUGGGGCGGUCGCCUCCUAAAGAGUAACGGAGGCGCCCAAAGGUUCCCUCAGAAUGGUUGGAAAUCAUUCGCAGAGUGUAAAGGCAGAAGGGAGCUUGACUGCGAGACGUACAGGUCGAGCAGGGUCGAAAGACGGGCUUAGUGAUCCGGUGGUUCCGCAUGGAAGGGCCAUCGCUCAACGGAUAAAAGCUACCCCGGGGAUAACAGGCUUAUCUCCCCCAAGAGUCCACAUCGACGGGGAGGUUUGGCACCUCGAUGUCGGCUCAUCGCAUCCUGGGGCUGUAGUCGGUCCCAAGGGUUGGGCUGUUCGCCCAUUAAAGCGGUACGCGAGCUGGGUUCAGAACGUCGUGAGACAGUUCGGUCCCUAUCCGUCGCGGGCGCAGGAAAUUUGAGAGGAGCUGUCCUUAGUACGAGAGGACCGGGAUGGACACACCGCUGGUGUACCAGUUGUUCCGCCAGGGGCAUCGCUGGGUAGCUAUGUGUGGCCGGGAUAAGUGCUGAAAGCAUCUAAGCACGAAGCCCCCCUCAAGAUGAGAUUUCCCAUUGCGCAAGCAAGUAAGAUCCCUCAAAGACGAUGAGGUAGAUAGGUUCGAGGUGGAAGCGUGGCGACACGUGCAGCUGACGAAUACUAAUCGAUCGAGGACUUAACCAAUU
rnacentral:rRNA from 1 species